AGCGAACGCUGGCGGCGUGCCUAACACAUGCAAGUCGAGCGCGGGCAUUUCGGGGGUAACCCCGGGAUGUGCUGAGCGGCGGACGAGUGAGUAAUACGUGGACAACCUGCCUUAAAGCUUGGGAUAACUCCGGGAAACUGGAGCUAAUACCGGAUAAGACCACGGUGUCUAUGGAUGCUGAGGUAAAAGGCGGCCAGGAAACUGGCUGUUGCUUAAAGAUGGGUCCACGUCCCANCAGGUAGUUGGUGAGGUAAAGGCUCACCAAGCCAAAGACGGGUAGCUGGCCUUAGCGGGUGGUCAGCCACACGGGGACUGAGACACGGCCCCGACUCC
rnacentral:rRNA from 1 species